AUUGAACGCUGGCGGCAUGCCUUACACAUGCAAGUCGAACGGUAACUGGUCUUCGGACGCUGACGAGUGGCGAACGGGUGAGUAAUACAUCGGAACGUGCCCAGUCGUGGGGGAUAACUACUCGAAAGAGUAGCUAAUACCGCAUACGAUCUGAGGAUGAAAGCGGGGGACCUGCGGGCCUCGCGCGAUUGGAGCGGCCGAUGGCAGAUUAGGUAGUUGGUGGGAUAAAAGCUUACCAAGCCGACGAUCUGUAGCUGGUCUGAGAGGACGACCAGCCACACUGGGACUGAGACACGGCCCAGACUCCUACGGGAGGCAGCAGUGGGGAAUUUUGGACAAUGGGCGAAAGCCUGAUCCAGCAAUGCCGCGUGCAGGAUGAAGGCCUUCGGGUUGUAAACUGCUUUUGUACGGAACGAAAAAGCUCCUUCUAAUACAGGGGGCCCAUGACGGUACCGUAAGAAUAAGCACCGGCUAACUACGUGCCAGCCGCCGCCGUAAUAC
rnacentral:rRNA from 1 species